rnacentral:rRNA from 1 species
UACGAAGGGUGCAAGCGUUACUCGGAAUUACUGGGCGUAAAGCGUGCGUAGGUGGUUUGUUAAGUCUGAUGUGAAAGCCCUGGGCUCAACCUGGGAACUGCAUUGGAAACUGGCUUACUAGAGUGCGGUAGAGGGGUGUGGAAUUCCCGGUGUAGCAGUGAAAUGCGUAGAUAUCGGGAGGAACAUCCGUGGCGAAGGCGACACCCUGGACCAGCACUGACACUGAGGCACGAAAGCGUGGGGAGCAAACAGG